AUGCUCGCUUUGGCAGCACAUAUACUAAAAUUGGAACAAUACAGAGAAGCUUAGCAUGCCCCUUGUGCAAGGAUGACACACAAAUUCGUGAAGCAUUCCAUAUUUUU
rnacentral:snRNA from 1 species